AAAUAAUGCUUAUUGACCUAUAGCAAUAAAAAUAGGACCUAGAGAAUAAAAUAAUUCGUAGAUCCCCUUUACUCAUGUGAACACAUAACAAGCAUAAAUUGUGGUGUACUUACUGUUAUGAAAAAAUUGAAAUGAAUUGUUAAACCGUUUAAACGAAUUUCUUUAUAUUUAAAAGUAAUUCUUUAAUGCAAAUAAUUUUAAUAUUUUUUCUAUCAAUUAUUUAUAUGGGUCUUGCCAAUUUUUUGCUUUGACAUGAUGAUCCAAAAAACAAUCAUGGCCCUAGCUAGGAAUCACAUAUUUUAAAGAAUAACUAUCAAAUUAGUUUUUAGACCUUUAGGAAUAACUUUGGCCCCAUUGAUAGAAUUUGUAGAAGCCAUCAACCAACAUAACUACUUUGGGAUCAGCUUACCGCAAAUAUGUGAUAAAGGUUAAUAAAAAUAAAUAAACUUUUUGAGAGAGAAAGCAAUUAUGGAUGAUAUUAUAUGAUGACAUUUUAUUUAAAAAAUUGGGUAAGUGCUUGAAACGAAUAAGAAAUUUUAUGUAUUUUUCCCUAUCAUUUCACAAGAUUUGAGAAAAUAGAUAUGAGGAAUUAAACCUAUUGAAAAAGAGAAUUGGUGUGAAAAAUCAAACCUAUUGACAAAUAAAAUUUGUAUAAAUCAUAUAAUGCUAGGUUUUUAAAUUUUUAAAUUUUGAAUUAUUAUCCUGAAAAAAGGAUCAAUGUAACAUUUUUAACAUGAUCCUAUAAAUCAUAAUCAAAUGAACAUAGAGUAAAAAUCUUUGUUGAUGGAUGCAAAAGAAUCAACAAUGAUAUAUAGGCCUAAAAGAAUAGGAUUUGUGGCUCCCUACACCCACUUAUUUAUACAUACAUAUACGCACAUGAUAAUUAUUUGGAUGAAAACAAGAUGAUCGCAUAUGAAGUUACCAUACAUUAUAAAGAGCAUCAAAUAAUACAAUUGUUCCUUGCGGCCCACAUAAAAAAGAAUAUCGCGUCUCUUCUCUAUAUAAAGGUGAGCAAGCAUGACAUUAUUGUUUGCAAGUGAGACAGUUAGUUGCUUGGAGUUCACAGAAGAACUUGAUAUCAACUCAAGGAGAAUAUAAUAUAAUACCCUAUAAUUAAAGAUGGCUAGCAUUAAGCAAUGUAAGGAGAUGAUAGUGAAGUUUAGUAACAAUGUUCAAGAUACCAUUAGUGUUAAGCUCAUCAAAGAAGAUGGAGAAGAUCCAGUAGAUGUCUAUGGAAGAAUAGCAGGUCGCUUCGGCAUCGGUUCUGAGUUUGUAUUAUUCAAUAAGACCCAAAGUUAACGUAUUGAGGUUAGGUCUGGGGAAUUCAUUCCCUUAGAAAGGGAUGAGGUGGUUGUGCCUGCAGAAGCGAGCGAAUUGAACUCGAGAUUACAGUGUACUUGAUGGAUUAUGAUACUGUUUCUCCUGACGAUGAAAUUGCAAAUGGUAAAGUGGUGCUUCUAGUCAAAUCUGCCGGUGAAAGUGAUCAAAAAUCCAUUGCUGGCAAGUAUGGCUCAAUUGAAGUCAAUCUAGUUUGGGGUUGAACCUAAUUGUGAUGGUUCUCAAUUAAUCUCGGUGCAGUGUUACUAGCUAGCUAGUAUAACUAAAUAAAACAUGGGUUCUCAAUCCCUGCAUUAGUUUUCACAUUUCCUAUACAAUCAUGUACUAUUUAAAUAUAAUAAUAGACCACGAAAUAUGCAGGUCUUUUUUUGUCU